rnacentral:lncRNA from 1 species
CUCUCCCCAGGCAUCAAGUGAAUAGAGAAGAUUCUAUGGAUGUAGAAGAGGUCCCUGGGUUUCCGAAUUGCCACUGGAUUGCCUCUAUCAAAUACACAAGAGUUUCAUGAAUUUCUCUUCUCUGGCCAUUGACAUGAGUGUGCUUUCUGGAUGCAGGGGACCCAAGAUUCUUGGACAGAAUUCUCGCCGGGAGCCAACUCAGCCUGAUCUGCUGGCAUCUCUCAAGUAUCAGAAGUCAACAAAAUGGUUUGCCUUGAAGACUUGGCCAGAGCAGCAGCCAAAGUUCAUAAGGCUUUCGUAGAGAGAUUGUUUGUCUAAGAAAACAAAAUUCUAAGGGCUCCCAUUGUGCAGCUGGGGUGGCAAAAUGCAAACUAAUAUAAGGAAAAAAAAUGCUUUUCAUUUCCAUGGAAGAAAUGACCCAUCCUAUUGUUGAUAUUUCCUUUUCUGUGCUAACUUAUUCCAUUAAUUAGGCUCUCGUUUUAUGAGAUAAUUUCACUGCAUGCGUAUCUUCUUUUGGUUAUUACACAAGGACUGUUUUCUAUGGUUCAUAUCUAAGUCCAACCCUGGAAAAAUCUUUUUUUUUGAGACAGCCUUUUUUGUUUUGUUUUGAGACAAUACUCCCUCUGUUGCCCAGGCUGGAAUGCAGUGGUGAGAUCAUAGCUCACUGCAACUUCUGCCUCCUAGGCUCAAAAAAUCCUCCCACCUCAGCCUCCCAAGUAGCUGGGAUUGCAGGCAUAUGCCAUCACACCCGGCUAAUUUUUGGAUUUUUAGUAAAGUUUUGCCAUGUUGGCCAGGCUGAUCUUGAACUCCUGCCCUCAAGUGAUCUGCCCACCUUGACCUCCCAAAGUGCUGGGAUUACAGGUGUGAGCUACUGUGCUCAGCUCAGCCAUGGAACAAUCUUGAUGUAUAAUUUAUCUGCAGGUAUCUCCAUCUCUAUUUGCCACUCUUAGUAAAUGUUUUAGUUUGACAGUAAACGAGUUGAGACAUUAAUGAUUGAGAGAGCACCUAAGCAGCUCGAAGUGCUGGGAGUCUCUCCUAAAGAAUUAGAUGCACACAGCAUUUUUCCCUUACAGACACUUCACUGAGCAGUCAUGUUGGACUUGGGUGGCGUCUGCUAUUAGACACACUAUUCACCAAUAAAACCCUGAAAAUUGCAUUGCACAGGACUGAUAAAAAUAAGAUGACUUAAGAAACGUAUUUAUGGUAUAUAUACACAGAAAAAGAAUGAAAGUUUGAGGGGGUAUUGCCUCUGGGAGGAAGAGUUAUGAGUAGUUUGUAUUUCCUUUUUUGUUAAUCUGUAUUUCAUUUUUUAGGCAAUGCAAAUAUAUUAUUUAGACAACAAAAUACUUAUUAGAAAGAAAAGACAUGGUGGGUUUUUUCCCCUUUAUUCUUUGCUUUUCUAAGAGGAAACUUUGACUGCAAUUGCUUGUGAGUGAUACCUGUGUUCUGGUAGCUUAGGAAGACACAAUGUGGUUAGGGAAGGAUAAGAACAGAUGGCUUUAAUAAAUGUACUCAAGGCUAAUGUACCCUUCAUAGUCUCAGGCUUCAGAUCAGAUCUCUUAUCUAUGCUGGCACCAGGAUGUGGUUUUGAGUUCUCUGCUUUUUCUACAGCUUUAGGGAAAUCUGCAUGCAGGCACAUCUAAUUGUCCAAACCAAAAAUCACAUCCAGGAUGUGAGGCAGCCUGGGAGAGGUCAUUUUGAGUUCUGUAGUCUCCGAAGUAUAAAAACACAUAAACAUGUAUACAUACACACAUUAACACCCACACACUUUUGAAGGAAGAUGGAAUGGAAGACAAGCACCACAGUGAAACUUUAGAAGAAUUUCCCUUACAUUCAGGAAAAAAAGAUAGAGGGUCCAUUUUCAUCACUCUUAUUGCCAUUGUCUAGAAGAUAAGCCGUAAUAAGAUAAAAUAAAAAGUGUAUAGAACACUUGGAAAAAAAUAUAAAAGAUUGGUCCCAUUCUCCGAUGGCAUGAUAUUCAAAUGAAGAACCAACUAUAAACAGGUUGUUAUGAGCUGAAUGUUAAUGUGACCCCAAAAUUCAUAUGCUGAAAUCUUAACCCCAAAGGUGAUAGUGUUAGAUGGUGAGGCUUUUAGGAGUUGACACAGUGUAAUGCCUCUUCUAUGAAGAAGUGGGCCUUUGUCAGUUACCAAAUCUGCAGAGGCCUUGAUCUUGAACUUCCCAGCCUCCAGAGCUUGGAGGAAUGAAUGUUUAUUGUUUGUAAACCACCCAGUUUAUGGUAUUUUAUUAGAGCUGCUCAAAGGGUCUAAGACACAAGUAUAAGUCAUAAGUAAAUGCAUCAAAUUUGCUGAAUAUAAAUCAACAUAUAAAAAAUCAACAGCAUGCUUGGAUCCCUGGUAUGAAUCACAUCUGGUCAUGGCAAAUAAUCUAAAAAAAAAUAAUAAAAUAAUCAAUUUAAAAAAUUUAAAAAGCAACAGUAUUUACUAUUCAUUGCCAAUGACCAAUUAGAAAAUGGCAUAAACAUGACAUCUGUGAUAAGACAAAUACUCUAAGGUAACUAGAACUACAAGUAAUAAAAGAUGUGUACAGUUUACAGAGACGAUUGUAGAAAGCCAAAAAAAAUUAAAAGUGAAAACCUAAAUGGGAAGAAGCAUCAUGUAUAUUGGGUCAUAGUAGAUAUCAUAAUAUAAAUUAUAAAAUACAGAACAAAAUGAUAUAAAAUACUAAAUUUCAAAAUGUGUUGGAUAUAGCUAAAGCAGCACUAAAGAGGAAUUUAUAGGUUUAAAUACACGUAUUGGGGGAGGAAAGAGAUAAAGUUUGAUAUGGCGGUAAGCAUCCACUUAGGGAAAAGUACAAAAAGAAAAUAAUAGUAGAAAGUAAUAAAAUAGAAAAUAUAAAAGAGGUUUUUUAAAAAAUACUUACAAAAUGGACAGUCUUUAUGGGGAUUGAACAAGAACAAAGAAAGAAGGCACUGAUAACCAAUGUCAAGGAUAUGGAAGUGGAUAUGUGGAUAUAACUAAAAUGCUGCAGUUAUUCGAGAUAAGAGUAUUAUAAGUAACUGUAAGAUAACACAUUUAAAAACUUGGUCGAAAUGGUCAAAUUUGUAGAAAAGUAUAUCUCAACAAAACUGAUUCAAGAAAAAUAACCCAUUAAAAAAUAAAUCAGCAGUUACCUUUUAUUUAUUUAUUUUUGACAAGAAAAUAUCAAAUGGUUUUACUGGCAAGAUCUGCCAAAUAUUCAAGAAACAAGUAAUUUCAAUUUUGGACAGAAUUUUCCAGAGAAGAGAAAAUGGGAAGAGGGUUGUUCCUCAUUUUAUGAAGCUAGUAUACACAUCAGUGCCAACAUUUGACAAGGGAAGUUUGAAAAAGGAAAAUCACCGACUAAUCUCUCCCAUGAGCAGAGACUUAAAAAAUUCUAAACAAAAUAUUUGCCAACCAAAUCCGAAUAUAGAAAGGAUUGUACACCAUGAUCAAGUUGAGCUCAUCCUAGGAAUGUUUCCUUUAUGGUAACAUUCGGGAAAGCAAAAUACAUGGGUGCACAUGCAAGAGGUAGGAGAUUGAGACUGGGAGUCUGUAGAACUUCUGAUUUCAUCCAUUUUUUGCAAGUGAAUUAGAUUUUCUUUAAAAAGGUUAUUGGGUGAAGGCGCAGAUAGAGGAGCAGGUCUUGGAGAUUUAAGGGGAAAGGAAGUAUGAUACAGUCUUCUAGAAGACUGGAAGAGUAAAUGGAAUAUAGCGUGAUUGCAUUGGGGCUCCUCUGAGCUUUAUGGGCAUGAAUUUAAAGAUUAUUUGAGGCCCUGGUUUGUGCAGUAAGAAAAAUUUUGUUUAGGGAUUAGGAAGGAAGAAAUAAAACUAAAAAUCUCCCAUUAUUCACAGAUGACAUGAUGAUUCUUAUAGAAAACCCAAAAGAUAUUACUACAUCAAUAUAGAAAACUCAAUUACAUUUCUUUAUUUUUCUUUUUCUUUUCUUUUUUUUUUUUUUUUGCUUUAAGUUCUAGGAUACAUGUGCAGAACGUGCGGGUUUGUUACAUAGGUAUACAUGUGCCACGGUGGUUUCCUGCACCUAUCAACCCGUCAUCUAGGUUUUAAGCCCAGAAUGCAUUAGGUAUUUGUCCUAAAACUCUCCCUCCCCUUCCCCUACUCCCCCCAACAGGCCCUGGUAUGUGAUGUUACCCUCCCUGUGUCCCUGUGUUCUCAAUGUUCAACUCCUACUUAUGAGUGAGAACAUGCGGUGUUUGGUUUUCUGUUUCUGUGUUAGUUUGCUGAGGAUGAUGGUUUCCAGCUUCAGCCAUGUCGCUGCAAAGGACAUUAACUCAUUCGUUUUUCUGGCUGCAUAGUAUUCCAUGGUGUGUAGGCGCCACGUUUUCUUUAUCCAGUCUGUCAUUGAUGGGCAUUUGGGUUGGUUCCAAGUCUUUGCUAUUGCAAAUAGUGCUGCAAUAAACAUAUGUGUGCAUGUGUCUUUAUAGAAUGAUUUAUAAUGCUUUGGGUAUAUACCCAGUAAUGGGAUUGCUGGGUCAAAUGGUAUUUCUGGUUCUAGAUCCUUGAGGAAUCACCACACUUUCUUCCAUAAUGGUUGAACGAAUUUACACUCCCACCAACCAUGUAAAAGCAUUCCUAUUUCUCCAUGUCCUCACCAGCAUCUGUUGUUUCCAGACUUUUAAAUGAUCAUCAUUCUUACUGGCAUGAUAUGGUAUCUCAUUGUGAUUUUGAUUUGCAUUCCUCUAAUGGCCAGUGAUGAGUUUUUCUUAUGUUUUCUGGCCGCAUAAAUGUCUUCUUUUGAGAAGUGUCUGUUCAUAUCAUUCACCCACUUUUUAAUGGUUUUUUUCUUGUAAAUUUAAGUUCCUUGUAGAUUCUGGAUAUUAGACCUUUGUCAGAUGGAUAGAUCGCAAAAAUUUUCUCCAAUUCUGUAGGUUGCGUGUUCACUCUGAUGAUAGUUUCUUUUGCUGCGCAGAAGCUCUUCAGUUUAAUUAGAUCCCAUGUGCCAAUUUUGGCAUUUUUUGAAAAUGCUUUUGGUGUUUUAGUCAUGAAGUCUUUGCCCAUGCCUAUGUCCUGAAUGGUAUUGCCUAGGUUUUCUUCUAGGGUUUUUAUGGUUUUAGGUUUUAUGUUUAAGUGUAAGGAGGGAUACAUUUAAGCCAAAAAGGACAGUCUACAUCUCUGCUUAUUGUCCCAAGGCAGCAGAAAUACAAUUCAUAGAUCCCAACACUUAGCCUUCCCCACCCUAGUCACACAGCAUCCCUCAGCCUGCCAAGGGAAUUGGUUCUGCAGACACGAGGGAUUUGCCCGGGGAUAAAGACCCCUUCUGGUUCAGACAUCAGGAGAUACAAAUGCAAUACACCACAGCUGACACAACUGGACAUCUUCAGUGUUGCAGUCUCACCCUAUCUCUCUGCUUGCCAGCUCCAGCUCAUCGGGCCAGUUAUGAGAAGGAAAACAUAUUUUCUAAAAGCUUUCUUAAGUGUUCACAUGGCCAGCUGCCCUUGUUUGUUCUCCUGAGUACUGAGGUCACUGGAAGCCACAAAACCCAGCUGGGACCACUUCAAUGAGUUAUGCUCCAGGGAAAAUUAUGGUGUGAAAAGGUAAAAGGAAAUUUUGGAAACUGGUGGAAUCUUCAUGGAAGUGUCACCCUGGGCUAAUACCAAGGAUCUGACAUAGACAAAAGUAUGAAUUACUCUGCAGGCUCAGCGCCAAGGGCAAGGUCGUAAGAGCCUGAGAUGGUCUUAACAAAUUAAGUGAGGCAGGCAAAGUUCAGUUGCUUACUGUGAGCUGGACCCUUCUACAUUAUUAUUUUUAUCAUGGAGUCCAAUGUCCCCAUGUUGAUCCUAACAAGCCAAGUCCCACAUUGCAUCAUCCCACAUGGGCCGGCCUUCUCUGGGCAAAACUUCAAGAUGUGAAACUCCUUUUUUCUCCUCUCAAAAUGUGCCAGUCCUGAGUCUCCUGUAUUGGGUUCAUUAAUGUUAACAUACUUUUUCUGGUCUGCUACAAUGAUCCAGGCACUGCACUAUAGUCCAAAGGCACAAAACAAUAAAUUAGACUUGCCCCUUGUUCUCAGGACUGAAAAUGGUUCCAUUCACCAAAAAAACAGGUGAAAGUUUACCCAGCACCUAAACCUGUACUAAUGUAUUAAUUAAUGCAUCACAGUUUAUUUAUUCUACACUUAUUUUACUUGCCCCUGUAAUAUACCACUAGAUGCUUCAGUAUGGGAGAUAUUGAACUCUAAAGUUCUAAGGGUGCUGUGGUGGAGAUAUGGACAUAUCUCAAAAUUAGCAGGAAAUUUAAAUAGCGAUUUUAAGAGAAAGUAAGAUCUGGUUAUGAGAAAGGAUGAAGCUACUCUGGGUGAGAGAAAACUGAGAACUAUGCCCUAGGAAUAUCCAACAUUUAAAGUGUAAACAAAGAAAGUAAAGACAGAGAUGACAACUGAGAAAGAGUGGUAGUCACAGGAGACUCAAGUGAGUGUAGCUGGAAGAUGUCAUCAGAACCCUAGUUAAUAACAUGUGGUCUACCAUUGCUACAAUACAAUGCCCUCCAGCCAUCUCAGGCAGGUGGGCCUUUACUUUCCUCAAAUUACAUUCACAGAUGAACAACCCAUGCUCUAUGAAGGAGUCGGGCCUGCAUACUAUCCUUCCCAAUGAGGGAGAUGUGACAGUUCAGGAUUCAGGAAAGGACCAAAUGGACUCACCAGGCAAGUGUGCUUUAGGAUGGAGGGCAGGGUUGGCUCUGUGCCAGGAGUGUAGAUUUCAUCUGUUGGCUGCAAAUGUGUGCCAGUUCCCAAUGGAAUGCUACUGUUCUCUGACCUGCCCUCAACUCAUAACACAAGUCACAAUUCACUGGAGUUUCACAGUACGUUUCUGUGGAUGUUUGGAAUCAGAAAUGCAGACUCACAGAAUAGCUGUAUAGGAUUUAAAGAGAAUCGGCAGAGUUCAGGCUGCUCAUUUUACAGAGGAGGAGGCUGAGUCUGAAGACUUACUAAUUUGGCCAGGGUUGCAUGGCAGUUUAGCAGAGUAGUUAAACAAAUGGGCUUGAAACUCAAAGAGUCCCUGAGAAUCUUAAAUUGUGUGCCUUAGGCAAGUCUGCUAAAACUGCUAUGUCUCAGUUAACUCCUCUUAAAACUGAGUAAGAAUAACAUAUAUAUAUAUAUAUCAUAUAUUAUGAUACAUGAUAUAUACAUAAUUCAUGUAUUAUAUCAUGAUACAUGAUAUAUAUGUAUUAUUCAUGUAUAUGAUACAUGAUACAUAUAUCAUGUAACCUAUGAUAUAUAUCAUAUAUGAAGAUUAUAUAUAUAUCUCAGAGGUUAUUUGUAAGAGAUGAGAUAGUGAAUUCAAAGCACUUAGCAUGACAGCUAGCAUAUGGUGACACAGCUAUCAUGCAAAGCCAAGUCUUCUGACUCGUACUUUAGUGCUCUUUCCUCUGAACCAUGAUCCCUCCUUUAAAUAGAGAAGUUAAAAAUGAACUUACAGAGACAUUCUAUGUGUACCAACCCAACACUAUAGCACUUGAUUUAUGCAUUCAUUUUUAUAACAACUAUCAUUUGAGCAUCUAUGUACCAGGGUGCUGAUGUAACCAUGCUGAGUGCUGAGGUACUCAUGCUGAAUCAGAUGUGAUCUCUUCCCACUAAGGAGAGAGAAGAUUGUGCCUAUGGUAGCCAGGAAUGAGGUGCACUUGCAAGGAGUAGGGAGGAGUGGGGAGAGUCUAGAGGCAAGGAGAUGAGAUAGAAAGUUCUUGCCCUAAUUUAGGCAAGAGGCAGCAGGGUCCUGAAUUACCUUGGAGAAAAUGGAAAUUAGGGGAAAGGACAAAGAAAUGAGGUAGGAACAUGAGACUUACCCUUGACACAUGAUUAUUAUGUUUAUGAAAUAUUUGUUUUUGUGUUUCUGACAAGCAAUUUGCCUCCAGAAUUGCCAAAUGAGUCUGGUUGUUACUCCAGACUCAAGGUAACAUCUGCUUAUUGCUAGUGCAUAGACCAGGGCAGGUGAUGGGCUUUAGGCCUCUUAUCUAGCGUCUUACACAAAAUUGCAAGUAGACCCAGAAUUACUAGUGCCAGGGCUGCAGAAAUAGGAACUGUUUAGCCAGGUCUAUGACCAUCUGUUUUCCCUCCUGCCAAAUGCAUCGAGGGCAUGAUAGAUCUGGCUUAGAUGGUAACAAAGUGAGAGCAGAGUUGAGCAAAUAGACAAAUGUUUAUCUUUUGCAGGAAUGUGCACUUGGCUCUGGGGAUUGUAGCUGUCCAUCAGCAUCCACACUGGAUGAAACUGCUGAAGGAAGGGGCUCCGAAAACACCCACUUUCCUCAGCCUCUGCGGCCUUAACUCCAUGUGCCAGCAGGUCAGGCUAACAGGCUGUGGUGCUAAAGGCAUCAGGCAGACAUAUCUACUGGCCCAUUAAGAUUCUGUACCUAAACACUACCCACCCCGCCCACCCUGCCCCAGUGAUGGCCCUGCCUUUCCUGCCAGGCCUGCUCUCCUCCCCAAGAAAGGGAAAAUGGUUAGCAACUUUCAGAAACUAAAACAAACACAAAAGUUUGCCAACAUUAAACUCUGCUUCACAGCUAAAUGGACCAUAAACUUUCAGCACCUUGAACAAAACUUCAAUUCAAUCCCUUCUACAGGUGCUGUGGGCACAAAGACUGCACAGUGUAUUUUUGCCCUGGGAAAGAGUCUCAAAUUAUUAUUUUUGUAAAAAAAAAAAAAAAAAGAAAAGAAAAAGUUGCCUGGAAAAAAGUUUCAUUUUGUGCUUAGAAAAACAAGCCAAGAGGCAACGCACACCCCCUUUCUCUCCAUUCUCACUUCCCUGCACUCUCACGAGAAGAUUCCAGCCCACCUUGAAACCCAGCAUGGAUACUAGAGAAGACAUCUUUUUCUCCAGUUUUCAAAUAAGCCUCCAGGAUGAGGCACACGCAGACCUUUCCUGCUAGCCUGUAAUUCACCACCUUCUAAAAGGACCAGGUCAUGAUACAAAUGAAAGCAAUGAAAAGCACAGGCCUGCAUGCCCAAGGUCUGAGUCUUGCUCCCUGUCAUCUUCGGUGUGACCUUAGCGUGUCACUUGACCUCUCAGGUCUCACAUUUAGCAUCCAGACAACUCAGGACUUAAGUUCUCUUACAGCUCUAAAAUUCUGUAUGGGAAUGACAUCAAUAAAGUAAUAUAAUUUUUUGUUCAAACCAGCAAAGAUGUGCAAAUACAAGGGGUAGUGAAUAGCAAUUAUGCCUGGCAUCCAGCAGAACUGUGCUGGGAACCAAGACCUGUGGUUCUGAGGGCUGUCCAGAGAGCGCCACGGCCAUUCGCGUGCUAAACCUUUGCAACCUGAGCCCAGUAACAGGAACACAGAACAUUCUCCAGGAGUCUGGGGCCUUGCCUCCAUUCUCCAGCUGCUCCUCUCCCAUUGUUUUCCCUCUCUACACGACUGCCCUUUCUUGGGCUCCCCAUGCUCUAAGUUAAGUUGGCAGCAUGGCAGAGAUUGAGAGCACAGAUUCUGGUCUCAGACUGCAUGGGCUCAAAUUACAGCUUCAUAAUUUACCACAUGAUCUUGGGCAAGUUACUUAAACUCAAAGAUAGACUUUUCAAACAUUUUUUCACUGCAAUCCACAGUAAGAAAUAUAUUUAACAUAAAUAAUACUCUACGUGUGUGCACACACACACACAUACUCACAUAAAUUAAAAGAUUAAUAAAAAAUAAUUAUUUUUGAUAUUUUGUGAGCACCAUUUGAUUGGUCCUAUUCUAUGUAAAUUUCUAUAAAUGCUAGUCAUAAUCCAGCAAAUUGAUUUCAUGGUCUACUAAUGGUUUCAGACCCACAAUUUGAAAAACCCUGUUCUAAGCUUUAGUUUUCUCAUCUGUAAAAUGAAGAUAAUAUAAAUAAUAUCCUCUCUGUGGAGUUGUUAUGAAGAUGACUAAAAUGUUCAUAUAAAAGCGUUUGGCCACAGUGCAGGGUGGCUCACGCCUGUAAUCCCAGCACUUCGGGAAGUCAAGGCAGGCAGAUCACAUGAGGCCAGUAGCUCAAGACCAGCCUAGUCAACAUGUUGAAACCCUGUCUCUACAAAAAGUACAAAAAUUAGCCCAGCAUGGUGGUGCACACCUGUAGUCCCAGCUACUCAGGAGGCUGAGGCAGGAGAAUCACUUGAACCCGGGAGGUGGAGGUUGCAGUGAGCCAAGAUGGCACCACUGCAUUCCAUCCUGGGCAACAGAGUGAGACUCUGUGUCAAAAACAAACAAACAAACAAACAAAAGGUUUAGCUUGGAAGGUAAUAAGUGCUCAGUGAAUAUUAGUGUUAUUAUUACUCAAGGAAGGGCAUCAGUGUGAAAUAAAUCUUAUACUUCAAGUCCAAAAGGGAAGCUCCCAGUAAUCAUGCCCUUCAUGAACCUGUACAUGAAUCAAAUGGCUUUUCCCAUUGGGCAUGCAUGCCAUGCCAUCAAGCAAGUCAGAAUUUAAGCUUCUGUGCAGGUCAGUGAAGACAUGGUGCUUGCCACUGCAGCAGCAGCCAUCUUGCACACAUGAGGUGCCACACCUGAGGAAGGAAGAACAAAGCAAUGGAAAGACCAGUGUUUUGGUAUUACUGAGUUGCUGAACCAAUCCUGGAACUGGAUCUCAGGCUUUUUAUUUAAAUCAAUAAAAUCUCCUGAUGUUUAAAAGGCAAUUUUAUGCAAACCAGCUCAUUACCUCCUACAGUGUCCCUUCCCUCACCAACAGGAAGUGGCUCCACAUUUCAAUUGCCUUUUUGCCCUUGAGAAUCAGCAUUCCCUAAACCACCACUAUUAAAUUUGGGACUCUGAAACCACAGAAAUACCCUACAGUAGGAAAUCCCCCUUGGGUGCCUAGACUCUCUAUCACCUUUGCAAAGCUUUUAAGUAAAAAAGGAAAACCUCAGGCUUCCCACUUAGCCAUGGAAAGUGGUACCACCUUCAGAGGAAAGAUGGGGGAUUCAGGAGCACCACCUCCAAUUUUAGGAGGUGCCCCUGAUUUCCUCAAAUACUGACAGGUAAUUUAACCUAAACAAUGGAGAGGAGCCCUGCUUCAAGAUGCAGUGCUAGGCUCACCCUGACCAGCACUUGGUAGAUAAGAAAGAGAAAACAACUUACAAAUUCUUCAGUGAUGCUUGGCUCAGUACUUAGCUCGCUGGCUGGCUGACUUUGCAACUACUUCUAGUUAAGGGUUCCAAAGGACUGGAAGGUAAAUAACCAGCAAGGUGUCGUAACACUGAGACAGAGUGAAAUAUUAUUUCCACCCUCUCGUGACCUCGGUGGCCAUUUUCCAGCUCUAGGGCCAGUCUGCACAUGACGAUGAGUGGUAUCUGAUGGCUGGUCCUGGCAUGAAGUGUGAGGGAAUGCCAGUUUAGGACUUGAACCUUCCAUCUCCCACUGAUUCCAGUCAGAGUAAUCCAAACCUAGUCUGUCUUUUCUUUCCCUUAUGCUGCAAACUUUCCCCUGUUUUAGUCAAAAUACACCAGCUUAGUAAUUCUGGCUGCCACAGACUGAAUUUUGAGCCUCACCAGUUUCCAAAUAAUUAAGACAGAGAAAGUGAGUUAAAUAAAAUAUGGCCAGAUUAAAUAAACAAUUCGGUACUUUAGGAGAAGAAUUCAGGCUGGGUCUAAGAUAGGCGCCUAGCGCAGGGCUCUGCAGCAGACAUAAGGAAGUCUUAAGUUGGUUUUCAAUAGGUGUACCUAAGGGUGCAUUUGAUAACAACAACAAAAAGAGAGAUGGAAGCAAAUAUUUAACAAGCACCUAUUAUCUAUCAGGCACUACAUAUACAUUCUCUCAUUUUCUUCUUACAAAGUACACGUAUCCUAGCAAUUAUUUCCAUUUUAAAAAACUGAAAAUGAAAAAUUACUUGCUCAAGAUCAUAAAGCAAGUAAACAUUAGAAUUAGGAUUUAACCCUAGGCCCUUCUUGUGCAGGAGUCAUGCUCUUUCAAGCACACUGUGCUGUCCCCCGGGAAGAGUGAGGGUUAUCAGGAAAAGCAGUGGAAUGGCAGAAAAGAAGAAGGGGAAGGAUUUUAAAACAGGGAAAAGAAAGGACAGAAAUACAUAAAAAUAAGAAAUGGGAACAGGAAGGACUGCAAAGAUUAAGGAAGAACGGUUGGUGAGUACCUUGGCUAUUUAGUGGAAUUUGGUGAUUCAGAACUGGGAAUGGACAGUAAGCCCCUUCAAAUACCCUGGGGAAGCCAAGAUUGUCAUGGAGCUGUUCUUUUCUCUAUCUCAAGUACAAAUGUCUCAAAGAACUCUAAAAGCUACUUAAAGCAAGAGCAAGGAACUCAAACUAAGUUCUUAUUGAGUGGUGGCCAAAAAACAAGCUGGACGAGUUUCCAGAUGAUACUGCCGGGAUGAUUCUUUUAGCUGACAGUUACCAAAAAGGAAGGCUUUCAGGACAUGUCAAUAGCAGAUCUUACGCCUUCUCUGACCUCGGCCUUCCUCAGAGUCUUUUAGCUGUAAUGAGCAAAUAUUAGCAUAAGAGACAGGGACCAAAUAUUUGUUUAGUGUCUGUGUUGAUUAUUAAGCUGUUGCCUGUAAACUCCACACUCACCCUUCAUUCUCAGCUUUGUGUUGCUGGGGCUGGGCCUCUGUAAUCACAUUUCAGCUUUGCCAGAGGGAUUUCUCUUAGGCUGCCAGUAGUGGGGCACUAGAGGGAGUCUGGAGGCAGUGGGGAAGAAGGGAUUUGUUCCUUCUGUUUUUUUGCUGGUCCUGUCAGUAUCAUCCCAGCAGCCCUUAGCUCCAGUUUGCAGUUAUUUUCCUCACUACAAGAACACACUCCCUCAGUGAUAGCGUCUGUCAACCAGAACCUCCUCCCCAGAUAUUGAGUCCCUGUUUUGAGGGUCCCUGCUCUGAGUCUCCAACGCACCUGCCUCCACCAGGCAGCACCCCUCCCUCCUGGUCCAGUUUCCAGCUCUGCAGGGCCCUCCUCCAAGCUUCCAGAUCCCAGGCACCUGACGCAUCCCUUUUGUUCUCUCAGCCCUAGGGGUAGCGAUUGCUUCCUGCAGUUGCUAGCUCCGUGACCCUCCAGUGGUCCUCCUCCUCACUUUCAGUGCUUCAAUUCCUUAUAUUAAGUAUUCUUUAUUAGGAAAACUGAUGGGUGUCUGUUUUCUGGACUGGCCUUUACCUGAUUUGUUAUCACUUCUGUCUACGUCCAGGACAAUAUUGAGCAAUAUUCUGAGGCUAUACUGUGUUAAAAGGAAACUUCAGACAAAUUAAAUUUAACAGAGUUUAACUGAGCAAGAAAAAAAAAUUCAUAAAUUGGGCAGCCUCCAGAAUCACAACAGAUUCAGAGAGAGUCCAGGGAUGCCUUAUGGUCAGAACAAAUUUAUAGACAACAAAAGGGAAGUGACGUGCAGAAAUCAGAAGUGAGGUACAGAAACAGCUGGACUGAUUACAGCUCAACAUUUGCCUUUUUUGAACAAAUCUGAACACUCAGCAGUGUAUGAGUGGUUGACGUAUGGCUGCUGUGAUUGGCCAGACCUCAGCUAUUGUUACAGGCACAUACUCUUAAGUCAGGUUUUCAAUCCUAUCUGACUAUAAAGUUAGGUUACAGUUUGUCCUCAUGGACUCAAAUUUAGAAGUAUGGCGUCCUUCUCAGGCCAUAUUUAGUUCAGUUUAACAAGUGCAUAUGGCUUCUGACAAAGGUGUGGCCCCUUUAGGACUCCAAAGACGCUGUCACUUACAUGGUAUUCAGGGAGGACACAGAGGAUCUGUGAGCAGCCUGCAGCCAAGCUUUGAGAUCAUAUUGAGAUUUUUUUGUAAUAUAUGAGGAGUGUUCUGGCUCCUUUUAUUACUUUCUUCAUAGCAAAAAUUGGGGGUCCAAGUUGUCGUUAAAUUGAAACUCUCUCACUUACCCUGAAAAAGAUUUGACUGUGAGCAUAACAUUGUUACUUCAUUCAAGACAUGGAAGCAAAAGGGUUAAUUAGUGCUGCUCACAAAAUAGUUCUACUUUUUCUUCUUCCAAUUAUAUGAUUGGAUAACCCUUCCCUCCCUUGAAGUCAGGGUUGCCAUGUGGCUUACUUUGGUCAAUAGAAUAUGAUUGAGAGCAAUACUGUGGUACAUCCAUACAGUGGAAUAUUAUCCAGUGAUAAAAAAAAAAAAAAAAAGGAAAGAAAGAAAGCCACAAAAAGACAUGGAAGAGAGCCAAGCGCAGCGGCUCAUGCAUGUAAUCCCAGCACUUUGCGAGGCUGAAGUGAGUGGAUCACUUGAGCUCAGGAGUUCAAGACCAGCCUGAGCAACAUGGCAAAACCCCAUCUCUAAAAAAAAAUACAAAAAAAUUUUAGCUCAGUGUGACUCUGUGUGCCUGUAGUCCCAGCUACUGGGGAGGCUAAGGUGGAAGGAUCACUUGAGCUCAGGAGGUCAAGGCUGCACAAAGCUGCAAUGAGCAGAAAUCAUGCUUGGGCAACAGAGAGAGACCCUGUCUCAAAAUAUGUUAAUGAGAGAGAACUCUGGGCAAGGGGGUGGAGGGGCAGAGGAGGAGUGUGGGGAAGGGGAAGGAGUGCAUACCUGGAAACUCUACUUUCUGCAUAAUUUUUCUAUAAACCUGAAAUUGCUCUAAAAAGUAAAGUCUAUUUAAAAAUAAUAAAUAAGAAAGAAAUAUGAAUAUCACUUGUGUCACUUUUGUGUCAAAGCAUUAACGGCCAGCACAUGAUUUGCCUUGCCACUCCCUUCCUCUUGGUCUGUAGUCCAAUGCUCUACCUCUGAGCUAUACCCCUUCCUUGCCACUCCCUUCCUAAAGAUAAGCCUCCCUCAUUGGAUUAGAAUUCUCCGGAGAGACAGAGACAAUAAGAUAUAUAUAGAGAGAGAUGGAGAGAUAGAGAUAGGAAUUAUCACAGGAUUAUGGAGGCUGAGAAGUCCCGCAAUAAGCCAUCUAUAAGCUAGAGAACCAGGGAAGCCAGUAAUAUGAGUCAGUCUAAGCCUUAAGGCUUCAAAACCAGAGAUGUCAAUAGCAUAACUUUCACCACAAGACUGAAGGUCACAAGGCUGAAUGCCUGAGAAACUGGGGGGUCACUAAUCCAAGCCCCAGAUUCGAAAGGCUGGAUAGAGAACCUGGGGUUCUGAUGUCCAAGGGCAGGAGAAUAAGGGUGUCCCAGCUCCAGAAGGGAGUGAGCAAAUUCACCUUUCCUCUGGCUUUUUGUUCUAGUAGGACCUGAGCCAUAUGGACGAUGCCUGUCCACAUUGGGUGAGGCCACAUCUUCCUCACUCAGUCCACUGAUUCAAAUGCCAAUCUCUUUUGGAAACACCCUUAUAGACAUGCCCAGAAGUAAUGCUUUAUCAGCUAUCUGGGUACCACUUAAUCUGGUCAAGUUGACACCUAAAAUUAAUUAUCAUCACAACUCAUUCUGGUUCUGUUAGUGAGAAUAAUCAAGAAUGCAUCCCUAGCUCGUCACUUCCAAUGAGCCAGUCUUCAGUGGACAUGCACCCUGAGUGGAAAAAAAGUAAAAACUGUUUCUAUUGUUGUUUUAAACAACUUAGAUUCAGAGAUUAUUUGUUAUUGCAGGAUAACCUAGCUUAUCCUGACUAAUACAGAGAGAGGAAGUCCUCCUUUAAUCUCCAACAGAAAUAUUAAACAGCAAUCAAUCACACAAUAUUGGUUAAAAAAACAAAGAUAAUAAUCAUUGUUAUUAUUUUCAUUAUUUCUGGAAAUAAAUUUAAAACUAUUGAAAAAACUUACUUUUAAAAUUCUCAACAUCACUAAUCAUCCAGGAAAUGCAAAUCAAAACCACAAUGAGAUGUCAUCUCACCUCAGUUAAAGUGGCUAUUAUCAAAAAGACAGAACAUAGCAGUUGCUGAUGAGGAUACAGAGAAGGGGAAGUUCUCCUACACUGUUCAUGGGAAUGUAGAUUAGUAUGGAAGUCCAUCAGAAAACUAAAAAUAGAACUACCAUAUGAUCCAGCAAUCCUACUGCUAGGGAUGUAACCAAAAGAAAGGCAAUCAGCAUAUAAAAGAGAUAUCUGCACCUCUUUGUUUAUUGCAGCACUAUUCACAAUAGCCAGAUUAUAGAAUCAACAUAUGUGCCCAUCAACAGAUGA